AUUGAACGCUGGCGGCAUGCUUUACACAUGCAAGUCGAACGGGCUUAGGUGCUUGCACCUAAGUUAGUGGCGAACGGGUGAGUAAUGCAUCGGAACGUACCGUGUAGUGGGGGAUAACCCGGCGAAAGUCGGAUUAAUACCGCAUACGAUCUAAGGAUGAAAGCAGGGGAUCGCAAGACCUUGCGCUAUACGAGCGGCCGAUGUCGGAUUAGCUAGUUGGUAGGGUAAAGGUCUACCAAGGCAACGAUCCGUAGCGGGUCUGAGAGGAUGAUCCGCCACAAUGGGACUGAGACACGGCCCAGACUCCUACGGGAGGCAGCAGUGGGGAAUUUUGGACAAUGGGCGAAAGCCUGAUCCAGCCAUGCCGCGUGAGUGAAGAAGGCCUUCGGGUUGUAAAGCUCUUUUGUCCGGGAGCAAAUCCUGUUCACUAAUACUGAGCGGGGCUGAGAGUACCGGAAGAAUAAGCACCGGCUAACUACGUGCCAGCCGCCGCGGUAACAC
rnacentral:rRNA from 1 species